rnacentral:rRNA from 1 species
UACGUAGGGUGCAAGCGUUAAGCGGAAUUACUGGGCGUAAAGCGUGCGCAGGCGGUUUUGUAAGUCUGACGUGAAAUCCCCGGGCUCAACCUGGGAAUUGCGUUGGAGACUGCAAGGCUAGAAUCUGGCAGAGGGGGGUAGAAUUCCACGUGUAGCAGUGAAAUGCGUAGAGAUGUGGAGGAACACCGAUGGCGAAGGCAGCCCCCUGGGUCAAGAUUGACGCUCAUGCACGAAAGCGUGGGGAGCAAACAGG